CCUACGGGGGGCUGCAGUGGGGAAUAUUGGACAAUGGGGGCAACCCUGAUCCAGCCAUGCCGCGUGUGUGAAGAAGGCACUCGGGUUGUAAAGCACUUUCAGUGAGGAAGAACGCCUGGUGGUUAAUACCCAUCAGGAAAGACAUCACUCACAGAAGAAGCACCGGCUAACUCCGUGCCAGCAGCCGCGGUAAUACGGAGGGUGCGAGCGUUAAUCGGAAUUACUGGGCGUAAAGCGCGCGUAGGUGGCUUGAUAAGCCGGUUGUGAAAGCCCCGGGCUCAACCUGGGAACGGCAUCCGGAACUGUCAAGCUAGAGUGCAGGAGAGGAAGGUAGAAUUCCCGGUGUAGCGGUGAAAUGCGUAGAGAUCGGGAGGAAUACCAGUGGCGAAGGCGGCCUUCUGGACUGACACUGACACUGAGGUGCGAAAGCGUGGGUAGCAAACAGGAUUAGAUACCCUGGUAGUC
rnacentral:rRNA from 1 species